rnacentral:tRNA from 2 species
GCCUGGAUAGCUCAAUCGGUAGAGCAUCAGACUUUUAAUCUGAGGGUUCAGGGUUCAAGUCCCUGUUCAGGCG